GUACUCGCUUCGGCGGUACAUAUACUAAAACUGGAACGAUACAGAGAUUAGCAUGGCCCCUGCACAAGGAUGACGUGCAAAAUCGUGAAGCGUUACAAAUUUUU